UUUAAGGAUAAGAAAUAGAAAAAUUCAAUUCUAGCUGCCAGGUUCUUCUAUUUUCUGCCACAUUCAACGACAUUGUCAAGAACUUUGUUGAGAGGAUAGUUAAAAGGGACCAUAAUAAACUUUGUUAAGAAAGAAUAACUUUCUUUAGAUGCUGUGAAGUAGUAUAAAGUGCACUGCCCUGAUGAGUUGUCGAAGAUUGAGGUGAUAAAAGAUUACAUAUUCGAAUUAGGAGAAAAUAUGGGCCAAAUUAUCAUAUUCGUGCGCACGAGACAGAGUUGACGAUUGACCAGCCUUGAAGUUUGGUAAAUGUGGUGAUUCAUAUCUUCAAAAUUUGCUUCAGGUGCCACUCUUCACCACCACCGCUUUUAGUUUUUCAAACCUAAUUUCUCUGUUUAUUCUUUUGUUAAUUGUUAUAAUUACUGUUUUUUUAUUUUUUAUUCAUAUUAAUUUUUUGUAUUGUUUGCUUGAUGGAGUAUAUUUUCUUCUACGAUGAUAAGCUUGUUUUCUUUUUUCAAAUUUUUUAAGAUUUAUCAAUUCAAUGGAGCUAAUUCAAAUAAGAUUUAUGGUUAUGAUGUAUUCAUCCUAGACUCAUAGAAUAAGAUUUAUCAAUUCAAUAGAGCUAAUUCAAAUAUUCAGGAAAGAGCCAAGGCUUUGGAAGUUAUCCAGUAUCUGAAGGAAAAGUAUCAUGAAGGGAAGUGUAAUGUUGCCAUUGUUGAUGAUGGAAAGUUGGACACUGAGUCAGACUCAGGUGAAUUUUGGGUUCUCUUUGGUGGUUUUGCUCCAAUUGGAAAGAAAGGAAUUAGUGAUGAUGAUAUCAUUCCUGAGACAACUCCUGCCCAACUCUUUAGUCACAGGAUAGAUUGAAUGGGCUGAAUCAAGGAGGACCAAGACAAAGAGCAGAAGCUUUGGCUGCUUUAAACUCUGCAUUUAAAUCAUCAUCCGGAACCAAAAGUUCUAGCCCUAAGACAACUGGAAGAAGUCAAGGAUCACCGCCACCCUCAAUGUCUUCGGAUGAGGACUAUGAUGAUGAUGAUGAUGAUGAUGAAGAUGACAUUGAAGACUAUAGCUGAUAGUUUUAGUAUGGUUGGACAAUAUACUAGGAAUUAUAGUUGAUGAUCAAUACAUUUUGUUUAUGUUUUGAAUUAUAUUGACUUGCUUGUUUAUA